ACUAGCUGACGAGUCCCAAGUAGGACGAAAUGCACAUCCUGGAU
rnacentral:hammerhead_ribozyme from 1 species